rnacentral:rRNA from 1 species
AUUCUGGUUGAUCCCGGCGGAGGUCACUGCUAUUGGGAUUCGACUAAGCCAUGCGAGUCGAGAGGGUUCGGCCCUCGGCUGACGGCUCAGUAACACGUGGAUAAUCUGCCCUAAGGUGGAGGAUAACCUCGGGAAACUGAGAAUAAUACUCCAUAAGUCUAGGAUGCUGGAAUGCACUUAGGCUGAAAACUUCGGUGCCUUAGGAUGAGUCUGCGGACUAUCAGGUUGUAGUCAGGGUAAAGACCUGACUAGCCUACGACGGAUACGGGUUGUGAGAGCAAUAACCCGGAGAUGAUAUCUGAGACACGAUAUCAGGCCCUACGGGGCGCAGCAGGCGCGAAAACUUCACACUGCGCAGAAGCGCGAUGAGGGAAUCCCAAGUGUAUGCACGUAAGUGUAUACUGCUUCUCUGUCUAAAAAGCAGAGAGAGUAAGAGCUGGGUAAGACGGGUGCCAGCCGCCGCGGUAAUACCUGCAGCUCAAGUGGUGAUCGUUAUUAUUGGGCCUAAAACGUCCGUAGCCGGUCUUGUAAAUGCCUGGGUAAAUCGUAUGGCUUAACCAUACGAAUUCCGGGUAGACUGUUAGACUUGAGACCGGGAGAAGCUAGAGGUACUCCUGGGGUAGAGGUGAAAUUCUGUAAUCCUAGGGGGACCACCAGUGGCGAAGGCGUCUAGCUAGAACGGGUCUGACGGUGAGGGACGAAGCCCUGGGGCGCAAACGGGAUUAGAUACCCCGGUAGUCCAGGGUGUAAACGCUGCUUGCUUGAUGUUAGUCUGGCUCCGAGCCAGAUUAGUGUCGGAGAGAAGUUGUUAAGCAAGCUGCCUGGGAAGUACGGCCGCAAGACUGAAACUCAAAGGAAUUGACGGGG